rnacentral:rRNA from 1 species
CGAGUCAUACGGGGGGGCAGCAGUGGGGAAUAUUGCACAAUGGGGGAAACCCUGAUGCAGCGCCGCCGCGUGAGCGAUGAAGUAUUUCGGUAUGUAAAGCUCUAUCAGCAGGGAAGAAAAUGACGGUACCUGACUAAGAAGCCCCGGCUAACUACGUGCCAGCAGCCGCGGUAAUACGUAGGGGGCAAGCGUUAUCCGGAUUUACUGGGUGUAAAGGGAGCGUAGACGGCUGUGCAAGCCAGAUGUGAAAGCCCGGGGCUCAACCCCGGGACUGCAUUUGGAACUGCGUGGCUUGAGUGUCGGAG